GUCGAGAAUCUUCGGCAAUGGGGGCAACCCUGACCGAGCGACGCCGCGUGGUGGAUGAAGGCCUUCGGGUUGUAAACACCUGUUGGGGGGGAACAAUUUUGAGUGAACCCCUGAGGAAGCACGGGCUAAGUUCGUGCCAGCAGCCGCGGUAAGACGAACCGUGCAAACGUUACUCGGAAUCACUGGGCUUAAAGCGCGCGUAGGCGGCGGCGUAAGUCAGAGGUGAAAUCCCAUCGGCUCAACCGUGGAAUUGCCUCUGAUACUGCGUUGCUUGAGGGGGAACGGGGCAUCCGGAACUUCCGGUGGAGCGGUGAAAUGUGUUGAUAUCGGAAGGAACGCCGGUGGCGAAAGCGGGAUGCUGGGUCUCUUCUGACGCUGAGGUGCGAAAGCUAGGGUAGCGAACGGGAUUAGAUACCCCGGUAGUCC
rnacentral:rRNA from 1 species